GACGAACCGUGCGAACGUUGUUCGGAAUCACUGGGCUUAAAGGGCGCGUAGGCGGGUUCGAAAGUCUGUGGUGAAAGCCUCCAGCUCAACUGGAGAAGUGCCAUGGAUACUGCGAAUCUCGAGGAGGGUAGGGGCAUCUGGAACGCUGGGUGGAGCGGUGAAAUGCGUUGAUAUCCAGCGGAACUCCGGUGGCGAAGGCGAGGUGCUGGACCCUUUCUGACGCUGAUGCGCGAAAGCCAGGGGAGCAAACGGG
rnacentral:rRNA from 1 species